CCGCUGCCCGCCGAGCUGCCCCGCGCCCCGCCCCGCGGCCGCCUCCUCGUCCGCCGAAGGGGCCGCGGCCCCGCGGGGGGCGGUGUGGGCCGGGCGUGGGCGGGCGGAGCGGUGGGCGCUGCCCCGGCGAGGGCCCGACUUGUGGUGCGGGCAGGAGCGGCCCGAGCUUGGCCCCGCUCUGCUGCUGUCCGCCUCCCGCCGGGCGCGGCAGGGCCCUAUGGCGGGCGGGCUGGGGCCGCGGCUGCUGGCCUUGGCCUUGGCCUUGGGGCCGGCAGGCGUUUGGACUCAGUUGAGUCUGGUGGAGUCUGGUGGAGGUCUGCGAGCACCUGGAGACUCCGUGCAUCUCUCCUGCCAGGGAUCUGGAUUCACCUUUGGAAGUUAUCAUGUCUUGUGGUACCGUCAGGCACCCGGUGGCAGUCUAGAGUGGAUGUCCUACAUCAACUAUCAGGGUAGAAUAACAAAAUAUGGCAAAGCAGUGGAGGGCCGAGCCAUUGUCUCCCGGGACAAUUCCCAGUCCAAGUCUUCUCUGUCCCUGAGCUCCCUGGUACCCCAGGACUCUGCUCACUACUUCUGUGCAGUUCGCACAGGGACAGGAAAUCCAGCUGAGCUUUAACACAAACCUGCUGCCAGGGCCCCUCACCUUUCCUACAUGUAUUGCUGCCACAGAGAACCAGGAGGAGCAGCAGAACCAUAUUCACAUGCUGAAGAGGGCAAAGAACUGCCUUCAGCUCAGCCCUUUCCCACUUUGCCCGUCGGGGCACAUGGGAUCAACAGCAGUGUCAGGGGCAAAAGGCCAGGUCAGCUGGAGUGCAGCAAGAAGGGCUGCACAGGCUUCCUCAUGAAAGGAAGUGCCUAGUGCUGCUCUUGGGUCCUAACAUCCCCGUUCUGUGGGAUUGAUGGAUGUAACAAUCCCGUUCAGGCUUGUGGAAGAGUGAAUGGAAAGUGUCUUGGCCAAGGAGGUCCUGAAGGUUUUGUUUGACAGCCAGAUGAACAUGGGCCAGUGGUGUGCCCCUGCGGUCAAGAAGGCCAAUCUCAUCAGAAACAGUGAGGCCAUCAGGAGUUGGGAAGUAAUGGUCCUUUGGUAUGUGGCUCUGGUGACAACACAUCUCUGACAUUGGGUUCAUUUUGGUCCCCUCACUACAAAGAGGUGUGCUGGGUCUGGCUGGCAUGCUAUCUCUCCCUGCAGCAGCCCAUACAGUACUGUGCCCUGCACUUGUAGGUAGAAGGUCACUGGUGUCACAGCAGUGUUUCGUUUAUUGUUGCCCAAUACUGGCACAGCAUCAGGUCCUCCUGCAACCCCCCAAGAGCCAGCAGACUGGGGGUGUGUAAGUGAUGGGGAGGGGACAUCACUGGGGCAGCUGACCUAAAUCGACAAAAGGUCUAUUCCAUGCCAUAUGAUGUCACUCUGAGCAAUAAAUGUGGGAAAGGUGAAGGAGAGGUGGGGGGCCUCGUUGUGGAAGGGUGUGUUCUCCCACACAACCACUAUGUGUAUUGAGGCCCUGCUUCCCAGGAUGUGGCUGAAUGUUGCUCGUUGAUGGGAAGUAGAGGGUAACUGCUUUUCUCUCUCUGUGCUUCCGUGCAGCCUUUGCCUUUUUUUUUUUUC